rnacentral:rRNA from 1 species
UACGGAGGGUGCAAGCGUUGCUCGGAAUUAUUGGGCGUAAAGGGUAGGUAGGUGGUCUUAUUUGUCUGGGGUGAAAGCCUUGAGCUUAACUCAAGAAGUGCCUCAGAAACGGUGAGACUAGAGUCCUGGAGAGGGUCGUGGAAUUCCCGGUGUAGCGGUGAAAUGCGUAGAGAUCGGGAGGAACACCAGAGGCGAAGGCGGCGACCUGGACAGGCACUGACACUCAACUACGAAA